UCUAAGGAAGAACCCUAAUGGGGUCCCCAUCAGCGACGAGGCUUUUGCCGAGGAGCUUAAGGGUGGGGCAAAGACCCCUUUCGGUUCUCUUGGAACAAGACGGAAGAUAGUCAAUCUUACCGUCGCGCAUACCUGAAGCGGGUCUGCCGCCUUCGUUUCUCUUUCUUCAGCGAAUGACUUUGACUUGCGCUCGCGCGCCGCAUCGCACCCCCUGUUGAUUAAGAUGGGCGGGUGCUGGCGCUCCGCGAGGGCGCGGCACAAGCCGCGACGGCCGGUCGGCCUUGCGAGACUUGCGUCUCGGUGGCGAGAGCCGAUUUAAGGCGCAGUGUCUAAGGGCUUGUAGCUCAGUUGGUUAGAGCGCGCGCUUGAUAAGCGUGAGGUCGGAGGUUCAAGUCCUCCCAGGCCCACCACUUCCUCCGCCCGCAUGAUCCCAAAAAGUUGCAGACUUUUUGGAUAAGAUUAUGCGUCUGGGGCAUGAAGGUUAUCAGGGGCCGUAGCUCAGCUGGGAGAGCGCCUGCUUUGCAAGCAGGAUGUCGUCGGUUCGAUCCCGUCCGGCUCCACCAACCAUCUUCUGCGAAGAUGGGGCGUGUCGAGUAGAGACGGUGAGAAAAAAGUCAUUCGAAAAAGAGUUUGCGUCGAGCCCUGUGCUCUGCGCCUGUUCUGUUUGACAUCGUAAAGAGAAGAUUUGUUCGAACUUCAUGAGCCGCAAGGUCUCAUGAUUUGUCGCUGGAGACGCUCAAUCUCCAGCAUAUGAUGGGUUUGCCUAACCGCGCCCUCGAACGGAUCUCGAGAAGCUGGUCUUUUUGUGCCAAUUCCAUUGAAGCAGAUCCCGCACAGGAUCUGGUUCGAGGCGACGAUCCCUGCGGGAUCGCGCUUAGCCAAUCCCGCAAGGGGUUUGGCUUGAACGACGAUCCCUUCGGGAUCGCGUGAUGGGUAUUGGCAAUGAGAACGAUCAAGUGUCUUAAGGGCAAUUGGUGGAUGCCUUGGCAUGCACAGGCGAUGAAGGACGUGAUACGCUGCGAUAAGCUACGGGGAGGUGCGAAUACCCUUUGAUCCGUAGAUCUCCGAA
rnacentral:misc_RNA from 1 species